UACGGGGGGGGCAAGCGUUGUUCGGAAUUACUGGGCGUAAAGGGCGCGUAGGCGGUUGGAUAAGUCAGCUGUGAAAACCACGGGCUUAACUCGUGGCCUGCAGUUGAGACUGUCUGGCUUGAGUGUGGGAGAGGAGAGUGGAAUUCCUGGUGUAGCGGUGAAAUGCGUAGAUAUCAGGAGGAACACCGGUGGCGAAGGCGGCUCUCUGGGCCGGAACUGACGCUGAGGCACGAAAGCGUGGGGAGCAAACAGG
rnacentral:rRNA from 1 species